rnacentral:sRNA from 1 species
UGUUUGCACUUAGCGGGAAGGGUAAGAACCUUCGACUAAGGUUCGACUCGAGCGCCAGCGAGAGAACGUUGCCGCAGGCAACGGCCCGAAGGGCGAGGAGCGAUAGCGACGAGUUAUCCUUCCCCCACCAACA